rnacentral:rRNA from 1 species
UACGGAGGGUGCAAGCGUUAUCCGGAUUCACUGGGUUUAAAGGGCGCGUAGGUGGGCAGUUAAGUCAGUGGUGAAAUCUCCGGGCUCAACCCGGAAACUGCCAUUGAUACUAUCUGUCUUGAAUAUCGUGGAGGUAAGCGGAAUAUGUCAUGUAGCGGUGAAAUGCUUAGAUAUGACAUAGAACACCAAUGGCGAAGGCAGCUUACUACCCGAAUAUUGACACUGAGGCACGAAAGCGUGGGGAGCAAACAGG